rnacentral:misc_RNA from 1 species
GAUGAAGAACGUAGUGAAAUGCGAUACUUGGUGUGAAUUGCAGAAUCCCGUGAACCAUCGAGUCUUUGAACGCAAGUUGCGCCCGAAGCCAUUAGGCCGAGGGCACGCCUGCCUGGGCGUCACACGUCGUUGCCCCCCCAUCUACUCCUUCGGGAUUGCGGGGGGCGGAUGAUGGCCUCCCGUGCGCCUCGUCGCGCGGUUGGCAUAAAUGCCAAGUCCUCGGCGACACACGCCACGACAAUCGGUGGUUGCGAAACCUCGGUUGCCCGUCGUGUGCGGUCGUCGCGCAUCGAGGGCUCGAAAAAAUUGCCGGGCUCCGGCUCGGCUUUCAACGCGACCCCAGGUCAGGCGGGGUUACCCGCUGAAUUUAAGCAUAUCAAUAAGCGGGGA